GAGGAUAUAGCUCAAUGGUAGAGUGCAUGCGAACAUGCAUAGUGUCGUGGGUUCAAUCCCCAGUACCUCCA
rnacentral:tRNA from 1 species